CUAGAGAUCGGAAGCGAGAAUGUUGACAUGAGUAGCGACAAACAGGGUGAGAGACCCUGUCGCCGAAAGUCCAAGGGUUCCUGCUUAAAGCUAAUCUGAGCAGGGUAAGCCGGCCCCUAAGGCGAGGCCGAAAGGCGUAGUCGAUGGGAACCAGGUUAAUAUUCCUGGGCCAGGAGGAUGUGACGGAUCUCGACGGUAGUUUGCCCUUAUCGGAUUGGGUGAGCUGCUUAGAGGUUCCUGGAAAUAGCCCUCCACAGGACCGUACCCCAAACCGACACAGGUGGACUGGUAGAGAAUACCAAGGCGCUUGAGAGAACCACAUCAAAGGAACUCGGCAAAAUGCUCCCGUAAGUUCGCGAGAAGGGAGCCCCGUCUGUAGGCAACUAUGGGCGGGGGGCACAAACCAGGGGGUGGCGACUGUUUACUUAAAACACAGGGCUGUGCGAAGCCGUAAGGCGACGUAUACAGUCUGACGCCUGCCCGGUGCUGGAAGGUUAAAAGGAGGGGUGCAAGCUCUGAAUUGAAGCCCCAGUAAACGGCGGCCGUAACAAUAACGGUCCUAAGGUAGCGAAAUUCCUUGUUGGGUAAGUUCCGACCUGCACGAAUGGCGUAACGAUCUCCCCGCUGUCUCUGAUGUGGACUCAGCGAAAUUGAACUGUGUGUCAAGAUGCACACUUCCCGCGGUUAGACGGAAAGACCCCAUGAACCUUUACUCCAGCUUUGCACUGGCAUCAGGAUUGUGAUGUGCAGGAUAGGUGGUAGGCAUCGAAGCAGAGACGCCAGUUUCUGUGGAGCCUCCCUUGAUAUACCACCCUUCGCACUCUUGAUGUCUAACCGCGGCCCGUUAUCCGGGUCCGGGACCAUGCAUGGUGGGGAGUUUGACUGGGCGGUCGCCUCCCAAACAGUAACGGAGGCGCGCGAAGGUUGGCUCAGAGCGGUCGGAAAUCGCUCGUUGAGUGCAAUGGCAGAGGCCAGCCUGACUGCAAGACUGACAAGUCGAGCAGAGACGAAAGUCGGCCAUAGUGAUCCGGUGGUCCCAAGUGGGAGGGCCAUCGCUCAACGGAUAAAAGGUACUCUGGGGAUAACAGGCUGAUGAUGCCCAAGAGUCCAUAUCGACGGCAUCGUUUGGCACCUCGAUGUCGGCUCAUCUCAUCCUGGGGCUGGAGCAGGUCCCAAGGGUAUGGCUGUUCGCCAUUUAAAGAGGUACGUGAGCUGGGUUUAGAACGUCGUGAGACAGUUCGGUCCCUAUCUGCCGUGGGUGUAGGAGACUUGAGAAGAGUUGCCCCUAGUACGAGAGGACCGGGGUGAACGUUCCACUGGUGGACCAGUUGUCGUGCCAACGGCAGUGCUGGGUAGCUAUGAACGGACAGGAUAACCGCUGAAGGCAUCUAAGCGGGAAGCCCCCUUCAAAACAAGGUCUCCCUUGAGAGCCGUGGAAGACCACCACGUCGAUAGGCCAGAGGUGUAAGUGCAGCAAUGCAUUCAGCUGACUGGUACUAAUUGCUCC
rnacentral:rRNA from 1 species